rnacentral:misc_RNA from 1 species
GAUGAAGAACGUAGCGAGAUGCGAUAAGUAAUGUGAAUUGCAGAAUUCAGUGAAUCAUCGAAUCUUUGAACGCACCUUGCACUCCUUGGUAUUCCGAGGAGUACGCCUGUUCGAGUGUUAUGAAGCUCUCAAAACGCAAUUGGCUUAAAACCUGAUUGUUGUUUUGGAUUUGAACUUUGCCGUGUUAUAACGGCUGGUUUUAAAAGUAUUAGCUGGUACUAGAACGAAUUGGUUCUACUCAACGUGAUAAUUAUCUGAUCGUUGAGGACAUUCCUUUCACGAGGAAUGGCCAUAGUAAAUUCAAUGGACUGCUUCUAAUCUGGCUUUAAUUCUUUAUUGGAUUAACCACUUUUCAAAUCUGACCUCGAAUCAGGUGGGACUACCCGCUGAACUUAAGCAUAUCAAUAAGCGGAGGA